AAAAAGGUAAGCUAAGCAAGCUAAUGGGUUCAUACCCCAUCUAUAGAGAUAUUAAUUCUCUCCUUUUUA
rnacentral:tRNA from 1 species